rnacentral:lncRNA from 1 species
CGAAAAGAAGCUUCAGCAACAAAAGGAAAAGCUUUCGCAUAAGAACAUAUGGCAACCUCUGCUAUCCAACAAUCAGCAUUUGCUGGCCAGACCGCCUUGAGGCAAUCCAAUGAGUUUGUCCGCAAGGUUGGAGUUGCUGACGGUGGCCGUAUCACCAUGAGGAGGACUGUCAAAUCCACUCCCCAGAGCAUCUGGUAACUACAUUUUACACAUUCUUAGUUGCUAAGCUUGCUUGUGUUAUUGCUUCUUUAUCAAGCGUGGCAUGCAUGUUUGAUUUUGGUUACCGAUAUGCCAUUAGUUUUCAGCUUAUGUAAAAAUAAAUAAAGAGAUCAGACAUAACUUCAAUUUAAAACAAAAAGCUCUAGGCGCAAGAAAAAUUGUAAUUCUAGCGUAAGCAGUCUCAAGUAUCUGAUCAAAGAAACCUGUAAUCGACAAACAGGUACGGCCCAGACCGCCCAAAGUACUUGGGACCAUUCUCUGAGCAAACACCAUCAUACUUGACUGGUGAGUUCCCUGGUGACUAUGGCUGGGAUACCGCUGGUUUAUCAGCAGACCCCGAGACAUUUGCUAAGAACCGUGAGCUAGAGGUGAUCCACAGCAGAUGGGCAAUGCUUGGAGCUCUUGGCUGCGUCUUCCCUGAAAUCCUCUCCAAGAAUGGAGUGAAGUUCGGCGAAGCAGUUUGGUUCAAGGCUGGCGCUCAAAUCUUCUCUGAAGGUGGCCUUGACUAUCUUGGCAACCCCAACCUCAUUCAUGCUCAGAGCAUUUUGGCUAUCUGGGCCUGCCAGGUUGUGCUCAUGGGUUUUGUUGAAGGAUACAGAAUUGGUGGCGGUCCUCUUGGUGAAGGACUUGACCCACUUUACCCUGGUGGUGCUUUUGACCCACUUGGUUUGGCUGAUGACCCCGAUCAAUUUGCUGAGUUGAAGGUCAAGGAGCUCAAGAAUGGCCGUCUGGCUAUGUUCUCCAUGUUUGGAUUCUUUGUUCAGGCUAUUGUCACUGGGAAGGGUCCAAUUGAGAACCUCUACGAC